UCUGGGAUUAGAUACCCUGUUAUUUUAAAUGUAAUUAUAGGAACUAAGGUAGUAUUAGAUAUGUUCUUUAAACUUAAAAAAUUUGGCGGUAUUUUAGUCUAUUCAGAGGAACCUGUUUUAUAAUUGAUAAUCCACGAUGGACCUUACUUAAAUUUGUUAAUCAGUUUAUAUACCGUUGUUAUUAGAAUAUUUUAUAAGAAAGUUAAUUUUCAUAAUUUUUUUAAAAAAAAUAUAUCAAAUCAAGGUGUAGCUUAUAUUUAAGUAUAAAUGGGUUACAAUAAAUUUAUUUAAGCGAAUAUAAAUUUGAAAUAUUUAUUGAAGAUGGAUUUGAUAGUAAAAUUAUAAAGAUAAAUAAUUUGAUUUUAGCUCUAAAAUAUGUACAAAUCGCCCGUCACUCUCUGA
rnacentral:rRNA from 1 species